rnacentral:rRNA from 1 species
CCUACGGGAGACAGCAGUGGGGGAUAUUGCACAAUGGGGGGAACCCUGAUGCAGCGACGCCGCGUGGGUGAAGGAGUGCUUCGGCAUGUAAAGCCCUAUCGGCAGGGAAGAAGCAAGACGGUACCUGACUAAGAAGCCCCGGCUAACUACGUGCCAGCAGCCGCGGUAAUACGUAGGGGGCGAGCGUUAUCCGGAUUCACUGGGUGUAAAGGGAGCGUAGACGGCCAUGCAAGCCAGGGGUGAAAGCCCGGGGCCCAACCCCGGGACUGCCCUUGGAACUGUGCGGCUAGAGUGCGGGAGGGGCAGGCGGAAUGCCUGGUGUAGCGGUGAAAUGCGUAGAGAUCAGGAGGAACACCGGCGGCGAAGGCGGCCUGCUGGACUGCGACUGACGUUGAGGCUCGAAAGCGUGGGGAGCGAACAGGAUUAGAUACCCUUGUAGUC